UCCCUGGUGGUCCAGUGGUUAAGACUUUGUGCUGCGAAUGCAGAGGGGUGCAGGUUUGAUACCUGAUCAGGGAA
rnacentral:tRNA from 1 species